rnacentral:sRNA from 1 species
CAGCUAUGAGCAGGCGUUCUGAAAGCGCGGCGACCGCAUCCUGCUGGCUCAUGAAUUAGGAGAGAAAGGGGCUCUCAGGAAAGCAGCUGAUGAAUUAGGAGAGAAAGGGGCUCUCAGGAAAGCAGCUGACAGCCGUCUCAUGCAACAGAUGCAGCCUCUCAGAUAACGAGACUAAAGCCAGAAGUUCUUAUGGUUAUAGCUGCCGGCUGAGAUUGCUUCAUUUAGAUAAUUACCAGUGAGAGAGACCACUCAGAAGAGCCUUGCUUCUGGAAGUAGCAAUCUGUCUGCCUGCACCUGUCAAUCACGGCCCUUGUCACAGUAUUUGCUUUCACUGUGCUCUGGAGGGAAAAGCUUAAAGGCAAACUUGCUCCCUGUUCCUCAGGCAGGCAGCAAGCAGACAGCACAGCACGCUUCCCCCGCAGACGGACGCCCUCUGCAUCACCAACCGAUUAAGGCAUCCAUUCGGCUCCAGAUGCUGCUGUUCUGAGUGUUGGAGA